UACGUAGGGUGCAAGCGUUGUCCGGAAUUAUUGGGCGUAAAGAGCUCGUAGGCGGUCUGUCGCGUCGGCUGUGAAAAACUCGGGGCUCAACCCCGAGCCUGCAGUCGAUACGGGCAGACUAGAGUGCUGUAGGGGAGACUGGAAUUCCUGGUGUAGCGGUGAAAUGCGCAGAUAUCAGGAGGAACACCGGUGGCGAAGGCGGGUCUCUGGGCCGAAACUGACGCUGAGGAGCGAAAGCGUGGGGAGCAAACAGG
rnacentral:rRNA from 1 species